GGCCUCGUAGCUCAGCUGGUAGAGCAUGCGCGUACAAAGCGUAGGCGGUGUCCAUGCGUGGGUUCGAACCCCACCGAGGCUA
rfam:Echinostoma caproni strain Egypt genome assembly, scaffold: ECPE_scaffold0000587